rnacentral:misc_RNA from 1 species
UAGCAGAGAAGAAAGCCCAGG